AGUGAACGCUGGCGGUAGGCCUAACACAUGCAAGUCGAACGGCAGCACAGUAAGAGCUUGCUCUUACGGGUGGCGAGUGGCGGACGGGUGAGGAAUACAUCGGAAUCUACUUUUUCGUGGGGGAUAACGUAGGGAAACUUACGCUAAUACCGCAUACGACCUACGGGUGAAAGCAGGGGAUCUUCGGACCUUGCGCGAUUGAAUGAGCCGAUGUCGGAUUAGCUAGUUGGCGGGGUAAAGGCCCACCAAGGCGACGAUCCGUAGCUGGUCUGAGAGGAUGAUCAGCCACACUGGAACUGAGACACGGUCCAGACCCCUACGGGAGGCAGCAGUGGGGAAUAUUGGACAAUGGGCGCAAGCCUGAUCCAGCCAUACCGCGUGGGUGAAGAAGGCCUUCGGGUUGUAAAGCCCUUUUGUUGGGAAAGAAAAGCAGCAGGUUAAUACCCCGCUGUUCUGACGGUACCCAAAGAAUAAGCACCGGCUAACUUCGUA
rnacentral:rRNA from 1 species